rnacentral:rRNA from 1 species
GAUGGACGCUGGCGGCGUGCCUAAUACAUGCAAGUCGAGCGAACGGACGAGAAGCUUGCUUUUCUGAUGUUAGCGGCGGACGGGUGAGUAACACGUGGAUAACCUACCUAUAAGACUGGGAUAACUUCGGGAAACCGGAGCUAAUACCGGAUAAUAUUUUGAACCGCAUGGUUCAUAAGUGAAAGACGGUCUUGCUGUCACUUAUAGAUGGAUCCGCGCUGCAUUAGCUAGUUGGUAAGGUAACGGCUUACCAAGGCAACGAUGCAUAGCCGACCUGAGAGGGUGAUCGGCCACACUGGAACUGAGACACGGUCCAGACUCCUACGGGAGGCAGCAGUAGGGAAUCUUCCGCAAUGGGCGAAAGCCUGACGGAGCAACGCCGCGUGAGUGAUGAAAGUCUUCGGAUCGUAAAACUCUGUUAUUAGGGAAGAACAUAUGUGUAAGUAACUGUGCACAUCUUGACGGUACCUAAUCAGAAAGCCACGGCUAACUACGUG